rnacentral:rRNA from 2 species
CCUAGCAUGAAGUCAGACAAGUGAACCC